rnacentral:rRNA from 1 species
GGGCGCAGCCUGACGGAGCGACGCCGCGUGAGGGAUGAAGCUUUUCGGAGUGUAAACCUCUUUUCUAUGGGAAGAUUAUGACGGUACUAUAGGAAUAAGCACCGGCUAACUACGUGCCAGCAGCCGCGGUAAUACGUAGGGUGCAAGCGUUAUUCGGAAUUACUGGGCGUAAAGCGUGCGUAGGCGGUUUUGUAAGUCGAGUAUUAAAUUUACGGGCUCAACUCGUAAGCUGUACUCGAUACUGCAUUACUUGAGAGUGGAAGAGGCAGACGGAAUUUCUGGUGGAGCGGUAAAAUGCGUAGAUAUCAGAAGGAACACCAAUGGCGAAGGCAGUCUGCUGGGCCAUUUCUGACGCUAAGGCACGAAAGCGUGGGUAGCGAUCGGGAUUAGAUACCCCGGUAGUCCACGCCGUAAACGAUGGAUACUAGCUUUGUGGAGUAUCGACCCUCUGUGAAGCGAAGCUAACGCGUUAAGUAUCCCGCCUGGGGAGUACGGCCGCAAGGCUAAAACUCAAAGGAAUGGACGGA